rnacentral:rRNA from 1 species
AUGUUUUAUUAUUACUUUUUGCAAGCUGUGGACCUUGGCUGGGUUCAAAAUCUAAGCAGGGUCAGGCUUGGAUAAUACUUGAGUGGGAAACCUUUAGAAAAUGUCAAAGCCUUAAACUUC